AGAGUUUGAUCCUGGCUCAGAUUGAACGCUGGCGGCAUGCUUUACACAUGCAAGUCGGACGGCAGCACAGAGAAGCUUGCUUCUCGGGUGGCGAGUGGCGAACGGGUGAGUAACAUAUCGGAACGUACCGAGUAGUGGGGGAUAACUGAUCGAAAGAUCAGCUAAUACCGCAUACGUCUUGAGAGAGAAAGCAGGGGACCUUUGGGCCUUGCGCUAUUCGAGCGGCCGAUAUCUGAUUAGCUGGUUGGUGGGGUAAAGGCCUACCAAGGCGACGAUCAGUAGCGGGUCUGAGAGGAUGAUCCGCCACACUGGGACUGAGACACGGCCCAGACUCCUACGGGAGGCAGCAGUGGGGAAUUUUGGACAAUGGGCGCAAGCCUGAUCCAGCCAUGCCGCGUGUCUGAAGAAGGCCUUCGGGUUGUAAAGGACUUUUGUCAGGGAAGAAAAGGCUGUUGCUAAUAUCAGCGGCUGAUGACGGUACCUGAAGAAUAAGCACCGGCUAACUACGUGCCAGCAGCCGCGGUAAUACGUAGGGUGCGAGCGUUAAUCGGAAUUACUGGGCGUAAAGCGGGCGCAGACGGUUACUUAAGCAGGAUGUGAAAUCCCCGGGCUCAACCCGGGAACUGCGUUCUGAACUGGGUGACUCGAGUGUGUCAGAGGGAGGUAGAAUUCCACGUGUAGCAGUGAAAUGCGUAGAGAUGUGGAGGAAUACCGAUGGCGAAGGCAGCCUCCUGGGAUAACACUGACGUUCAUGCCCGAAAGCGUGGGUAGCAAACAGGAUUAGAUACCCUGGUAGUCCACGCCCUAAACGAUGUCAAUUAGCUGUUGGGCAACUUGAUUGCUUAGUAGCGUAGCUAACGCGUGAAAUUGACCGCCUGGGGAGUACGGUCGCAAGAUUAAAACUCAAAGGAAUUGACGGGGACCCGCACAAGCGGUGGAUGAUGUGGAUUAAUUCGAUGCAACGCGAAGAACCUUACCUGGUCUUGACAUGUACGGAAUCCUCCAGAGACGGAGGAGUGCCUUCGGGAGCCGUAACACAGGUGCUGCAUGGCUGUCGUCAGCUCGUGUCGUGAGAUGUUGGGUUAAGUCCCGCAACGAGCGCAACCCUUGUCAUUAGUUGCCAUCAUUCAGUUGGGCACUCUAAUGAGACUGCCGGUGACAAGCCGGAGGAAGGUGGGGAUGACGUCAAGUCCUCAUGGCCCUUAUGACCAGGGCUUCACACGUCAUACAAUGGUCGGUACAGAGGGUAGCCAAGCCGCGAGGCGGAGCCAAUCUCACAAAACCGAUCGUAGUCCGGAUUGCACUCUGCAACUCGAGUGCAUGAAGUCGGAAUCGCUAGUAAUCGCAGGUCAGCAUACUGCGGUGAAUACGUUCCCGGGUCUUGUACACACCGCCCGUCACACCAUGGGAGUGGGGGAUACCAGAAGUAGGUAGGGUAACCGCAAGGGGUCCGCUUACCACGGUAUGCUUCAUGACUGGGGUGAAGUCGUAACAAGGUAGCCGUAGGGGAACCUGCGGCUG
rnacentral:rRNA from 1 species